GAGUUUGAUCCUGGCUCAGGACGAACGCUGGCGGCGUGCUUAACACAUGCAAGUCGAACGGUGAGGUCCCUUCGGGGGCGGAUCAGUGGCGAACGGGUGAGUAACACGUGGGCAAUCUGCCCCUCACUGUGGGAUAACUCCGGGAAACCGGGGCUAAUACCGCAUAUGAAGCCUGGCGGCAUCGCCGGGUUUGGAAAGUUUUUCGGUGAGGGAUGAGCCCGCGGCCUAUCAGCUUGUUGGUGAGGUAAUGGCUCACCAAGGCGACGACGGGUAGCCGGCCUGAGAGGGCGACCGGCCACACUGGGACUGAGACACGGCCCAGACUCCUACGGGAGGCAGCAGUGGGGAAUAUUGGGCAAUGGGCGAAAGCCUGACCCAGCGACGCCGCGUGCGGGUAAGGCCUUCGGGUUGUAAACCGCUUUCAGCAGGGAAGAAGCGAAA
rnacentral:rRNA from 1 species